GCGGCAGUAGCUCAGUGGUAGAGCAUCGGCUUCCCAAGCCGAGGGUCGCGGGUUCGAACCCCGUUUGCCGCUCUA
rnacentral:tRNA from 1 species